AGAGUUUGAUCCUGGCUCAGAGCGAACGCUGGCGGCACGCCUAACACAUGCAAGUCGAGCGAGAAAGUGACUUCGGUCGCGAGUAAAGCGGCGAACGGGUGAGUACAACGUGGAUAAUCUACCCUAAGGUCUGGGACAACCCCGAGAAAUCGGGGCUAAUACCGGAUAAGACCACAGUAUCCAAGGAUACAGCGGUAAAAGAUUUAUCGCCUUUGGAUGAGUCCACGCCCCAUCAGGUAGUUGGUAAGGUAAAGGCUUACCAAGCCUAAGACGGGUAGCCGGCCUUAGCGGGUGAACGGCCACAUGGGGACUGAGACACGGCCCUGACUCCUACGGGAGGCAGCAGUGGGGAAUAUUGGGCAAUGGGCGAAAGCCUGACCCAGCGAUGCCGCGUGAGGGAUGAAGGCCUUCGGGUUGUAAACCUCUGUCAGGAGGGACGAUGGGACUUUGUCUUGACGGUACCUCCAGAGGAAGCCCCGGCUAACUCCGUGCCAGCAGCCGUGGU
rnacentral:rRNA from 1 species